UGGGGGGGGGGCUACCAUGCAGUCGAGCGAGGUCCAUCCAGUGGCAACACUGGGGAAGACCUAGCGGCGAACGGGUGAGUAACACGUGAGGAACUUGCCCCGGAGUACGGGAUAACUCGAGGAAACUCGAGCUAAUACCGUAUGCCCUCUUCUGGUCGCAUGGCCGGAUGAGGAAAGAUUUAUCGCUCCGGGAGAGCCUCGCGGCCUAUCAGCUAGUUGGUGGGGUAACGGCCCACCAAGGCAUCGACGGGUAGCUGGUCUGAGAGGACGAUCAGCCACACUGGGACUGAGACACGGCCCAGACUCCUACGGGAGGCAGCAGUGGGGAAUCUUGCGCAAUGGGCGAAAGCCUGACGCAGCAACGCCGCGUGCGGGAUGAAGGCCUUCGGGUUGUAAACCGCUUUCAGCAGGGAAGAAAUUGACGGUACCUGCAGAAGAAGCCCCGGCCAACUACGUGCCAGCAGCCGCGGUAACACGUAGGGGGCGAGCGUUGUCCGGAUUUAUUGGGCGUAAAGAGCUCGUAGGCGGUUCGCUAAGUCGGGUGUGAAACCUCCAGGCUCAACCUGGAGACGCCACCUGAUACUGGUGUGACUAGAGUCCGGUAGGGGAGUGUGGAACUCCUGGUGUAGCGGUGAAAUGCGCAGAUAUCAGGAAGAACACCAGCGGCGAAGGCGGCACUCUGGGCCGGUACUGACGCUGAGGAGCGAAAGCGUGGGUAGCACACAGGAUUAGAUACCCUGGUAGUCCACGCCGUAAACGUUGGGCACUAGGUGUGGGUUCCAACCAACGGAAUCCGUGCCGCAGCUAACGCAUUAAGUGCCCCGCCUGGGGAGUACGGCCGCAAGGCUAAAACUCAAAGGAAUUGACAA
rnacentral:rRNA from 1 species